rnacentral:pre_miRNA from 1 species
AGUGUAUUGUGAGUAUUCAAAAAGUUUCAGGUUUUGGAGCAUUUCAGAAUUUGGAUUUUUGGAUUAGGGAUGCUCA